rnacentral:lncRNA from 1 species
CGCUAGCUCUUUCCAAAGGGAGUGGUGAUAAACAAGUGAGCAACUCAUUUGUUUUCCCAGAGAAACAACUUGUAAUUGCAGUGAUGAUGUGUUAAUUCUGUAUUAAGUGACUUAUUGAUCAAGCACCUUAAAAGGCUGCAAAGUUUUUCUCUCCUGCAUUUCACUGCAGAUGGGAGUGGGGAGCAAAUGUGAAAGACAAAUGAGAUUGAAGCGCUGGGGACAUCCAGCAGAAUAGCAACUCCUUGUCAGUGGAGAACAACUCAUCAGUGUCUGCUGCCUACAGGUCCUUGGGAGGAGUCUAACAUGAUGGAAUAUACAGGAUUUGCUUUCAAUCCUGGCUCAAUCAUUUGGGACGUGCGUCGGAGAGUCUGGACUUCACGUGCUGCUCUUCCAAAACAAGGACAGGAUAUCAACCCAGAAAAAUGAGCCCUUCAGACCUGCG